GACGAACGCUGGCGGCGUGCCUAAUACAUGCAAGUAGAACGCUGAAGGAGGAGCUUGCUUCUCUGGAUGAGUUGCGAACGGGUGAGUAACGCGUAGGUAACCUGCCUGGUAGUGGGGGAUAACUAUUGGAAACGAUAGCUAAUACCGCAUAACAGUAGAUAUCGCAUGAUAUCUACUUGAAAGGUGCAAUUGCAUCACUACCAGAUGGACCUGCGUUGUAUUAGCUAGUUGGUGAGGUAACGGCUCACCAAGGCGACGAUACAUAGCCGACCUGAGAGGGUGAUCGGCCACACUGGGACUGAGACACGGCCCAGACUCCUACGGGAGGCAGCAGUAGGGAAUCUUCGGCAAUGGACGGAAGUCUGACCGAGCAACGCCGCGUGAGUGAAGAAGGUUUUCGGAUCGUAAAGCUCUGUUGUAAGAGAAGAACGAGUGUGAGAGUGGAAAGUUCACACUGUGACGGUAUCUUACCAGAAAGGGACGGCUAACUACGUG
rnacentral:rRNA from 1 species